rnacentral:rRNA from 1 species
GACGAACGCUGGCGGCGUGCCUAAUACAUGCAAGUGGGACGCAAGGGAACACACUGUGCUUGCACACCGUGUUUUCUUGAGUCGCGAACGGGUGAGUAACGCGUAGGUAACCUGCCUAUUAGCGGGGGAUAACUAUUGGAAACGAUAGCUAAUACCGCAUAAUAUUAAUUAUUGCAUGAUAAUUGAUUGAAAGAUGCAAGCGCAUCACUAGUAGAUGGACCUGCGUUGUAUUAGCUAGUUGGUAAGGUAAGAGCUUACCAAGGCGACGAUACAUAGCCGACCUGAGAGGGUGAUCGGCCACACUGGGACUGAGACACGGCCCAGACUCCUACGGGAGGCAGCAGUAGGGAAUCUUCGGCAAUGGACGAAAGUCUGACCGAGCAACGCCGCGUGAGUGAAGAAGGUUUUCGGAUCGUAAAGCUCUGUUGUAAGUCAAGAACGUGUGUGAGAGUGGAAAGUUCACACAGUGACGGUAGCUUACCAGAAAGGGACGGCUAACUACGUGCCAGCAGCCGCGGUAAUACGUAGGUCCCGAGCGUUGUCCGGAUUUAUUGGGCGUAAAGGGAGCGCAGGCGGUCAGGAAAGUCUGGAGUAAAAGGCUAUGGCUCAACCAUAGUGUGCUCUGGAAACUGUCUGACUUGAGUGCAGAAGGGGAGAGUGGAAUUCCAUGUGUAGCGGUGAAAUGCGUAGAUAUAUGGAGGAACACCAGUGGCGAAAGCGGCUCUCUGGUCUGUCACUGACGCUGAGGCUCGAAAGCGUGGGUAGCGAACAGGAUUAGAUACCCUGGUAGUCCACGCCGUAAACGAUGAGUGCUAGGUGUUAGGCCCUUUCCGGGGCUUAGUGCCGGAGCUAACGCAAUAAGCACUCCGCCUGGGGAGUACGACCGCAAGGUUGAAACUCAAAGGAAUUGACGGGGGCCCGCACAAGCGGUGGAGCAUGUGGUUUAAUUCGAAGCAACGCGAAGAACCUUACCAGGUCUUGACAUCCCGAUGCUAUUCUUAGAGAUAGGAAGUUACUUCGGUACAUCGGAGACAGGUGGUGCAUGGUUGUCGUCAGCUCGUGUCGUGAGAUGUUGGGUUAAGUCCCGCAACGAGCGCAACCCUUAUUGUUAGUUGCCAUCAUUAAGUUGGGCACU